GGACGGACGGCAGCAGCCCCGCUCCCGACUGAGCGCUAAAACAUGUGUAAAAUCCUCCGGGGAGGGAGGGAACAUGGGAUGAGGUUCUGCACCAGAAACACUAUGGCCUGGGUACCUUUCAAUUAUGUGUCAUCAUGUCAAGAGGAGCCCCCAUCCACUCUCUGGCAACGAGUUUCUUCUGGCAGCUCUUCUAAAGAGCAUGUUAACAUGGAAGUACCUGCUGAUCCCAACAUGAAACAAGGAGCUGCAGUCCUCCAGCUGUAAUCCUUGGAUUCUUUUUUGUCUUUCUCACUGUUUUCCUAACUGUUUUGCUAACUGUGCCUGUGUACAAGAUACACUUGUGUCCCCUUUCUGAUGAGUUAAACACUCAGGUUUGUAUUUCCUGAUUACUACCCUAUUUGUACUAAAUUGUUAGUGUAAUUUUUUUAGAAAAUUGCA